GAUUUAAGAAGAUCUAAAUAAUAAUAGUUAUUAGACAAAAAGAAAUGUUACAAAUAUUAUAUAAAAUUUUUAUUUAGGGGCGAGAUACUUUCAAUUCUUAGGAUAACUGGAUUUAAUUUAGAUGCAUUAAGUGCAGGAUUUAUUUCUGACUUUCAAAGUGUUAAGAAUUUGAAAGGAAAUUUUAAGUUAAUUUUUUUUUCAAUUAAUAAGAAAUAACUUCCUUAAUUAUCUAUGGAAAAACAUAAUUUUUAUUUAAUAAUUUAAAAAGAAUAAAUUAAAAUUUUUUUAAACUUUAAGUAAUAUUUAUAAUGUUAAAAUAAGUAUUAGUAAUAAAACCUUUUUAAGGAACUCGGCAAAAAUUUUUUUCGACUGUUUAACAAAAACAUAGCUUUAUGAAUAAAUUAUUUAUAUAAAGUUUCUCCUGCCCAGUGAAAUUUUAACGGCCGCAGUACCUUGACUGUGCUAAGGUAGCAUAAUAAAUUGGCUUUUAAUUGAAGUCUUGGAUCAACGGAUGGACGGAAAGAAGCUGUCUUAAAAGGAUUUAUAAAAAAUUAAUUUAAGAGGUGAAAAAGCCUUUAUUUUUUUAUAGACAAGAAGACCCUUAGAAUUUUUUAAAAAAUAAAACUAUGUGUAUAAAUAAUUAUAUUUAUAUUAGUGUGCUUUAUUCUUUUUUGUUGGGGCGACAAGGUAACAGAUAAAACUUACCUUAAUAUUAUUUACAUAUCAGAUUAUAUAAAUUUAGAAAAAAUUACCUAAGGGAUAACAGCAUAAUUAUAGAAAUUGUUUGUGACCUCGAUGUUGGAUUAGGAUAACAUAAAACUAGUCGUUUUAUUGUUAGGUUCUGUUCGAACUGCUUCUCCUACAUGAUCUGAGUUCAGACCGGCGUAAGCCAGGUCAG
rnacentral:rRNA from 1 species